GAUGAACGCUGGCGGCGUGCCUAAUACAUGCAAGUCGAGCGAACAGACGAGGAGCUUGCUCCUCUGACGUUAGCGGCGGACGGGUGAGUAACACGUGGAUAACCUACCUAUAAGACUGGGAUAACUUCGGGAAACCGGAGCUAAUACCGGAUAAUAUAUUGAACCGCAUGGUUCAAUAGUGAAAGACGGUUUUGCUGUCACUUAUAGAUGGAUCCGCGCCGCAUUAGCUAGUUGGUAAGGUAACGGCUUACCAAGGCAACGAUGCGUAGCCGACCUGAGAGGGUGAUCGGCCACACUGGAACGGAGCCACGGUCCAGACUCCUACGGGAGGCAGCAGUAGGGAAUCGUCCGCAAUGGGCGAAAGCCUGACGGAGCAACGCCGCGUGAGUGAUGAAGGUCUUCGGCUCGUAAAACUCUGUUAUUAGGGAAGAACAAAUGUGUAAGUAACUAUGCACGUCUUGACGGUACCUAAUCAGAAAGCCACGGCUAACUACGUG
rnacentral:rRNA from 1 species